CCUACGGGAGGCAGCAGUGGGGAAUAUUGGGCAAUGGGCGCAAGCCUGACCCAGCAACGCCGCGUGAAGGAAGAAGGCCCUCGGGUUGUAAACUUCUUUUAUUCGGGACGAAACAAAUGACGGUACCGACUGAAUAAGCCACGGCUAACUACGUGCCAGCAGCCGCGGUAAUACGUAGGUGGCAAGCGUUAUCCGUAUUUACUGGGUGGAAAGGGCGGGUAGGCGGGAGAGCAAGUCAGACGUGACAUUCCAGGGCUCAACCCUGGAACUGCGUUUGAAACUGUUCUUCUUGAGUGAUGGAGAGGCAGGCGGAAUUCCGGGUGUAGCGGUGAAAUGCGUAGAUAUACGGAGGAACACCAGUGGCGAAGGCGGCCUGCUGGACAUUAACUGACGCUGAGGCGCGAAAGCGUGGGGAGCAAACAGGAUUAGAUACCCCUGUAGUC
rnacentral:rRNA from 1 species